rnacentral:rRNA from 1 species
GUGAGGAAUAUUGCGCAAUGGAGGCAACUCUGACGCAGCCAUGCCGCGUGCAGGAAGAAGGCGCUACGCGUUGUAAACUGCUUUUAAUCGGGAAGAAACCCCAGGACGUGUCCUGGGUUGACGGUACCGGAGGAAUAAGCACCGGCUAACUUCGUGCCAGCAGCCGCGGUAAUACGAAGGGUGCAAGCGUUAUCCGGAUUCAUUGGGUUUAAAGGGUGCGUAGGCGGAGCGUUAAGUCAGUGGUGAAAUCCUGCAGCUUAACUGUAGACUUGCCAUUGAUACUGGCGCUCUUGAGUGCGCUUGAAGUGGGCGGAAUGUGCCGUGUAGCGGUGAAAUGCUUAGAUAUGGCACAGAACACCAAUUGCGAAGGCAGCUCACUAAGGCGAUACUGACACUGAGGCACGAAAGCGUGGGGAUCGAACAGGAUUAGAUACCCCGGUAGUCC